CCUACGGGAGGCAGCAGUGGGGAAUUUUGCGCAAUGCUCGUAAGAGUGACGCAGCGACGCCGCGUGAAUGACGAAGGCCUUCGGGUCGUAAAGUUCUUUCGACAGGGAAGAAAAUGCCUAUAAGUAACUGUGUAUGUAUUGACGAUACCUGUAUAAGCAGCCCCGGCUAACUCCGUGCCAGCAGCCGCGGUAAUACGGAGGGGGCGAGCGUUGUUCGGAGGGACUGGGCGUAAAGAGCACGUAGGCGGUGGUGUAAGUCAUUAGUCAAAGACUAGAGCUCAACUUUAGUAAGGCUAGUGAUACUAUAAUACUAGAGUAUCAGAGAGGAUUGCAGAAUUCCUGGUGUAGCGGUGAAAUGCGUAGAUAUCAGGAGGAAUACCGUUAGCGAAGGCGGCAAUCUGGCUGGAAACUGACGCUGAGGUGCGAAAGCGUGGGUAGCAAACAGGAUUAGAUACCCCAGUAGUC
rnacentral:rRNA from 1 species